GCGGGCGGGCAGGUUGUCGCCCGCCACGUGCAGGUACUUUUUGUGCACGUCCUCCCACUGUAGGGUAUCCAACUUGGCGGCGUCGCCCGUUCCAAUGUACUUUUCCCGCGGGUUAUCCAGCAACGACUUUUUCAGCACGUAUAUCUGCAUUAUCAAGGGAUCGGACAACUUUUCAAGUGCGGAAUAUGGCCCUUUUGCAAGCCAUAAAGACACAAUUUCUCCACGCCAUCCGAGUGCGCUCCCCUGAGAGAAUGAUGAGAAGCCAUUAAUUUGAAGGGGUUGAUCCGGGGGCAUCACACUCUCUCCCAACUCAAUGACAGCUCCACAUUUCUGGUGGGACUCAGCUGCAAUUCGGCGCAUUGACUACCCACCCCUCACCUGCCCCGGAACCAGCAUUCUUGCUCACCUGAUAACCCUCGUUCUGGGGAAUGAUGGCCACUUCAAACCGGUCGAAAGCGGUCUCCACUUCCGUGCGGACCAGGAUGAUGUUGCGCGGGUCGUGCACGGAGGUGACGCCCAGCAGCGGCUGCACAGCGUAGGAGUAAGUGGAGGAUCUCAUGUUUUGGUGUAUGUGUGUGUGUGUGCGUGUGCGCGUGUGUGAGCAGCUCUAAUCACAUAGACUGUUGAGGAAAGGACUGGCUCAAGAUUGAUAACAACCGUCACCCGGACCCAUACGUGCGACAGCAAGAGGAUAAAAGCUCUGAAACGCGGCAGGGGUAAGGGGAUUCAGUUAGCAACUAUUGAGUGGAUGCGGAGCAGCCCAAGGACACGGCCGGGUGGAAGAGACCCAGUCUUGUUGGUAGCAUGCUCAUGUGUUGGCCCACUCCGGGCACAAUUAAUAAAAUAGUAUGCAACUCUACACCGCAGCCAUCCAGACUUACCAGGUAACCCCGGUUCCAGCCCUGACGGAAGAUAUGCCCCGCCUUGAUACUGGCGGCUGGCAUGUCCUUUCCGGUCACCAUGCACUUCACGGUCUUGGGGCUGGCGCUGUAGCCGUAGUACCUGAAGGCAUUCUCGCGGUAGGGCGUGCUGUCCUUGCUGGAUGUCGCUGUGAUGUCGCCCUGCAUCAGGACUCGCACGAACUGGCUCUGGUCCCUGAUUUCCUCCUGGAUCUCCCCAAGCUCCUCCCCAAGCUUCAGCUUGAGCUUUUCCAGCUGGAGAUUUUCCUCCCGGAUCUUCUCCCCAAGCUCCAGCUUGAGCUUUUCCUCAAGCUGGAGAUUUUCCUCCCGGAUCUUCUCCCCAAGCGUUUCCUCAAGCUUUUCCAGCCGCUCGAGAACAACUGCAUAUGUUUAUUCCGGAGCGAACACAUGUUAGUAAUUGGCGUACAAUCUAUGCGCGUUCACACCAUUUACAGAUCUGAAGGUAUGGCAAUACCGCUUACUAGAAGCCCCAAGGAAGAGCGUGUAGAAGGGCCGUCCCUAUAAUGACGUACUAAUGAGCCAGUGGGUAAGCAGAAAGGAUACAUCAAGAUAGCAGUUCAAGAUUGCGGACAAACACUACAGUACCCCAAUGCGCUUUCAGCCUAGUCACGGUGCAGCUGUGCCCUUCAGCGGCCGAGGUGGAUCCCCGUGACGGCCAGCAUACUGUGCCGUGCUCUUCGCGAUAGCCCACCCAUGGAAUGCUAAGGCUGGUGCUAAGGUGCGGCGCCUAGGCCCAAGGCCAUACAAACUCACCGUCCCUUGGUGCGCUCCCUACGCCCAAGCCAGCCGCCGCGUCUGCAUCACCUGAAAGCGACCGAACCACAGAUGCAAACAUGGUGAAGAUACGAACAAAAGGCAUAUGCGUAGGUUGAAUCAGCGCUGCACGUGCACGAUGCAGGCUGGUGGACGGGGAGGGACAGCGUGCACACCCAACCUCACUGUGCACCACCGCCCAUUUAACAGUUCCACACAAACCUUGCGUGAUAAAAACUGGGGUGGGGUCCGCGGGGAAAUACUCGCGGACAGCAGCAGUUUAUUUCAACGACGACGUAUUUCACAACAAUCCCUAGGUGCCUGGGAGUCCUGCCGCACAAUAAUGGAGGCCCCACACUCACAGCAUGUGACCCGACACUCCCAACACCCCAUCAUGUGCAUGUCUAACCUCAGCCCCCACAUAAAUAUUGCAUAUGUAACAUAGCGCAAAAACUCGUCCGCUCUCAAGCUUCGACUUCUUGAAGCGAAGUAUGAGUGUAGAGAUAGGCAAGCUAUUGCGAAGGAACUGCCGUGGUGCGUGGAAGUAGGGCGCAUGCAUGCAUGCAUGUGCCGGACCACAGUACGGCAGGGGACGCCGAGCUCCUACUUGGGUCCCACAGGCGCAUUGGUUCUUUAACUGCCGUUGUCUUGAGGUGUGUCCCGCUGCUGGGACAGUGUCCUCUAGUUUCCACCCACCCACCCACCCACGGGUCGGUAUCGUAAUAAUCGUACUAAUUGUCCUUUAUUAUGGGUUUAAGUUUGGAGUACCCGUAUAUGUGCGUUCUCUCGUCAAUUUUCUGUGCCUCGUCGUUUCCCCGCCGCCGCGGAGCACUAGAGCCGGAGUCUUAGGUCAGGUCAAGCCUGGGCUAGCACAACCAACUCACCAGCUCCAGCCGCGCUCCCCAUGCCGAGGCCAGCCGCCGAGGCUGCACAACAUGAGAGCAAUUGAGGGGACACGUCGAGAUGAGAUCUUGGUGCGGGGUUGCUGGGUGCGUGUGAGUGAACUCCUUUCCAGAUUUGAACCCGCACCACUCUUACCUUUCACGGACCUCAUGAACUCAACAAUUGCCUCGUUGUCACCGUCUAUCGGAAACACCUCGAGCUCCUCCCCCGAUAGUUUGGACAGGGCGAAGCACAAGUCGCCGAGCUCCUUCCCGCGCACGUCCAGCGCCUUCGCGGCAGCGGUGAAAGCCGCAGCCGCCUCCUUUCUGCUGACCAUUCGGCCUUCUUUCUGCUGACUACCGUAGUGACAGGAAAGGUUUAUGAUUUUCUUGUUCGAGACACCCUCAAAGUUACACCCGAAAUUAUUGGUGAAACUGUUAAAUUCGUGAGAAGCCAACGCAACCGAAGCAACGGUGCCUGCAAUAUUCGUUAAUGGGUCCGACUCAGAACGCCGAUUGACGCAAAAGCUGGCCAAUGCAUGCACGGCUAUUUAGGAGCGGCAAAACCAGCUCUAUCCGUAGAUGGGGCGCCGCGAGCAAGUGUGAAGAGUCCCCAUUGAAGGAGGCUUUGUUGCUUAGGCCGCUUGGCCCUCGGAUCCAUGUCCGUUCAGAUACUAUGGAUGUAUAUAUGGCCAGAAAAGUGGAAUUCGACGAGUAAUUACUGUGUUGAAGGCAUUAUACGAUUUGGCUUCGGAGCACACAUAUAUUCGUGACGACCAUCGCCUGGAACAGCUUGUAAUUUAUAUGUGACAUAAUUUCGUGAUGCCGUCACGAAAUUAAAAUCACGAACAUUUCCUGUCACUACGGUACUGCUCGUCCGUGCGUUGCGAUGUUGGGUGAACGCCUUGUAACCCUUCAACUACACUCACAAUAUACCGCUGCACUAUUCUCUCCACUCCUGCCACAUCAUGUUUCACCGACAUACUUCGGCAUCUUCCGCAUCUAUAUACUUUAGUACGCGGUCAGCUGCUUCACCAGGACCCCGGUGUUUAUUUAUAUAGGAAAAGUCCAAACAGAGGCCCCAUAGGUGUUAGGUCCGCGGGUGAUCCGUACUCCGAGAGACUAGAUGUGUCGAGAGACAUUGGAUUGGCUGGGACAGAUAGACUCCGCCAAGAACCCGGAGAUUGACAGACAGUCAUACAGAACCUAUGACCUGGGAUUGGCCGACAGGCUGACGAGUGUGCGUUGCAAACGUUUCGGAUCUUGAACCCGGCUAGUCUUAAAGCCCUUCUGCGUGUCUGUCAGCAUCGAUUCUCAGAGUGACACACUUGUGAUGAGCAUCCGCAUUGACUCAUGUUGUUACUCUAGCGGUGUCUUACAGUCUCUAAGACUAGUGAUUACCAUCAGUUCGAUGAUACAUGAAUGCAGUCUCAUAGCUAGCCUGUGACUAUAAACGCUUAUCGGCAUGUCCGAGCGCACGAAGCCACUGCUGUUAGAGCAUAGAGAGGCGCAGUGAAGCCAUAGCCACCGAAUAUACUACGCACAUCUACGCAAUAACGUCCUUUUAUCUGUAAACAGCAUUAGUGUGGACCUCUAGACGGAAAACAGGGUACAGGAAGGUUGGAACAGCGGCGAGGGACCUGCAGAAUUGAUGCGCCGGGGAUGUGCGGCCUUUCCUGCGAAAGCCAUCAGGGAGCCGUCUUAGGGGGCGACAUGAUAUUAAUCCGACGAGUUCCACUUACGGCGCAGCCAUCGUGUGUACAUAGCCACUUUCUGUGUUUUCGAGAGACUCGGGCACAUGGCCGUUUCCCCAUCUCCCCUCCCCUUUUCCACUCCACCACACCUUCACUCGCACGUGCCGCUGUAAACGGCCUGUGUGGAGCGCGGCUUUUCCUUUCACCGCAUCAUCAAGGAUCGUCUCCGGAACCGCUUGCGUGUGGUUACCAUUGACUCCUUGAUGCGAGUGCGGCUACUUGCUCAGCCUUUUGAGGUCAUGGAUUUCAGCGAUGCAUCUGAUGUUUACGCGUCCGGCACUGAGCCCUCCACCCUAAAAACCCUUAUGGGGGUUUCAUGCACUACAGUGCCAUGUUUGGAUAGUGAUGUUGAGAGCGAUGAGGAGCCUGCUGAUGAGGGGGAAGAUGACGAAGAGGAGGCCAGCGAGGCAUUUAUGAGUGAUGGGGAUCCAGAACUGUCCAGUGAGUCUGGCAGUGAGGUUGCCGAUGAGGGGGACGAAGAGGAGGACGAGGAGAUGUUCCUCUCCAGUCCUACGGUGUCUAAGGGUCUCCUUGAAGAGCUCGGGUUGUGAUGCUCACAGGCAGACGUGCAGGCGUGCAUGUGUUGCUGCGUGUGUGUGUGUGUGUGUGUGUGUGUGUUUGUUCGUGCAUAUCAGAACUGUGAACUGCAAACUGAGAACUGGAAACUGCGCAUAUAAAAUACGAAUAAAUGUAAUUUCAAGCGGCACACAGCGAAAUUACGUUCUUGCGUCACCCGACAGGUUUUGGGAUGGGCUAUCGGGGCACCCGACAGAAAUUGAAAGAUAUGCAAAAACGCUAUCGGGUGGGCCCGACGGGCAUGGGAAGGGGAAAACCGGCAACCCGACCAUUUCAGGAAGGUCCUGUACCACCUUGGUGCCCUGUCAUGCAAUCAUGUGCUACAUGCACGUUCAACCGGCACAGCACUUUACAACCUGGCAAUUGUAACAAGACACAUUCAACUCGACAACGAGUACCACAUGAAAGAAAAUGGGAGAAAUUUGGAAAGAGCUUUUGGGCUGAUGCGCUGAUUAUGGCAAUGCAGGGCAGUGCAAGGCAUGGGGAGCCUGGACAGGGACGUGAGGGGACAAUAGGAGGGGAGAGAGGGGUUGGUCUGUGCCCUUUCUAAGGUCUCGCCGCGUUUCAAAGAUUUUUGCGCAACUUAGAUUUUUGCGUCCUCUGGCCCAACAAAAAAUAUUGCACAACAAGCGCUUGAGACCUCACAUCCGUAGUGCGAAAAACGUACUCUGCCAUAUUUUUCGGCAUUUGGGAAAAACGUCCCGAGGAAAUAUUUCGAUUGCGACGAGCAUAUUUUUUGCGAGCCGUGCCCUCCUCUCACAUCACCUCAACGCGUCUCUGGACAGCAAACAUCUCUCAGCACUCCAGCUCAAUAAAACACAAAACUCUCAGUUUACUUUAAAUAGUACACGGAUGCCCUGCUGUACAGCAUCCUGGCAGCUUUUGCGAAACCAAGCUCCCGCACACAUGCAUACAUCUAUGCAUACGCGCACACAUACAUACGUAUAUAUGCACGUAUAUAUAUACAUAUAUGUAGUACAUACUUACGUAUAGAUAUACGUACAUAUGUACGUACAUAUAUACACAAUCAACACCCUAAGGCACCCGCCCCGGGGGCCCGAAAGGACCUUCUCCGGCUGAAUUAAUGUACACCAAGACGCAGCGCUUUCGCCUCCCUCACUCCCUCUUCCUCGCUGCAUGCAUACCUCGUAGCUCGUCACACAGUCCCUUUGUCAUGUAACCGAAAUCGUACAUUCGCCACACGCUUUGUCGUCACAAACUGUACUUCUCCUCCGGCGCACCUACCACUCUCAUCACCCAUCUACGUGAUCUCUACCUGACCUUAAUAGUCACUCACAGCUUCACUCACUCACUCACAGCUCGCCUCUCGUCGAAGCUUCUUUUUGGUACGAAAUUGCCCGUACUGCCCUUGCUUUAGUCCGUACACAGGGCCUGUUGCAAUGCAGAUCCAGCGACAUGCCGUACGCUUAGACACGGGAUAAAAGAAAAGGAAGAAAGGUUCCUCGCCGUCCUCGAAAGCCGCCUCCCCGCCAAUAAUGCACCUUAGCAAUAAUAAAAAUAUAUAAAAACAUCUUCACGGUGACCGUUCCGCCGCACAUUCGCUCACAGCACCGCGCCUCCUCUUUUCUCCUCUCUUUCACUCAACUUCUCUCUCCAUUCUCUCCGCUUUCCCCCCUUCUCAUUCUUCUUCUCUACUCCUCCCUCGCCCAUCAGACCCACACGGACCCACCCCAGAGGCUAGACGGUCACGUCGCCCAGGUCCCCUACGAUAUUUGUCCAGCCGUCCGCACCUAUGUAUGUACGUAUGUCUACCUGUCCACAAAUACACCCCGUCGUCCUUCGGAGAACAGCUCCCCUUCCCCCUCCCGCUCCCAGCCACCCCAGCCUCAACCGGAACCGGAUCCAACCAGAGGACCUCAACAGCUCCUGCCACCAUGGGUUCGACAGACAGACAGACAGACAGACCGUCAAACCACGACUGAACUUGAAAGGGUCUUCUACUCUUUUCCUCUCGCCACAUCUCCUCUCACUGCGAGGCGCAUUUCGCCUCCGCCUGCAUUUAUUACAACAAUAUCCCUCCCCACGUUCUAGGGACCUCUAAAUCAAGAUGUUGGUACUUCAACGCAACUCGGGGACUCGGCAACAAAGCACAACACAACGCGUCGUGUGUCGUUUGCCAAUCAAUAUAUAAAACGCACAAGACAUAAUCAAUGCAAUAAGUAUAAGCGCCUUCUGUCGUACAUCUUCCGUACGCCCUCAGACCCUAGGUGUAACAAGCUCCUCUUGCUCUGAGUUCCGUAAUUCCCCCCUCUCUUUUUUCUCCAGUUCUCCUGCUCUCUCUCUCUCUCCCCCUUUUCUCCCUAUCUCUAUGUGCUCUUGUUCGACAAUAAUGGAUGACCGAAGACUCCCCCAACCGGGGCGGCCCCCAAUUGCAACACAUACAAACACACAGCGCCUCAUGCGGUGCCGCUCACGCCGCCCCCAGCACCGCCGCCAGCGCCCUCUGCCGCUGCUCCGGCCCCAUCUCCAACAGCAGCGCCGCCAUUCGGCUGCCCACCAUCAGAGCCUCCUCGUCGCUGAUCGCCACACCCAGGGACCGAAAGGACUGUGUGUGUGUCGAGAGGACAACAUCAACAACAAGGGAAGACAAAAAGGAGCAGCACAGUUAUGAUGAUGAAAGGGAGGAGGAUGAAUGGGAGGGUUCGGGGUGUGGGAUGUGGGCGAGAAGAUGCGGGGAAGACGGAGGGAACUGGGGAGAUGGGGCAGGAGCACGGAAGAGGAGGAGGUGUUGGGAGAGGCCAUGAACCCACUCCGACCCACGGGUCAAUACUAUCCACAAGGCAACAGACCAACCGGCACGCCAGUCGAUGUUUUAAAUCUGGAUCAGGGCUACAUAAAUCGACCCAUGGGUCCAGUCCACAUUAAUCGAUGCCUCCAUUCGGAACCAUGGGGGAUGGGGACGAUUCUACCGCUCUUCGCCCACCUGCAGCAGCGUGCCCAGUUGCUCGUACGUGUAGUUGUAGACCCCUCCCUGGAUUAGCCGAAGAUAGACAGCCUGCGGGAAGCGAAGUUGCGGGCCCGCUGCAGUCGAGGACGAAGACGAGCCGUCGCACUCACAUUCAUCGCCGCCGCCAGCAGGAGCGGCAGCAGCAGCGGAUGACCGCGCUGCGGCCGUGUCGGCGGAGAAUUUCGACGUGGAGGUCCAAAACGAUGACGAUGUGCGCGGUGAGGAGCUCAGGCGACGGUUGGGGCUCGUGCUGGCUGUUGCAGCAGCAGUAGCCAUGUAAUGGUGAGCGCCGCUGCGCAGCUGCAACUGCGAUUUGCUGUGGCCGCUGCGCUGGUGCAUUUGAAGGUCUGCGGGAUACCGAGAUUCACCCCAAUACGCCGCGCAAGCAUCCUCGGCGCCGUCAUCAUCGGCAUCAGAUGGCCGCUCCCUGGAGGACCUGGCACUCAGGGUUGCGUUUGAAUUAUCGGCAUCAGUAGAAGGCGAAAUGGUGGUGUGGGUGGCGGCGUUGUUGGCGGUGCUUAGGGCCGCAAGCGCCGCAAGUACAGCUGUAGCCGACGCCGGAUCGAAGGGUCCCGGGUGGCAGUAGCAGCACAUGUCGAGAUCUGUCAGCCAGUCCUCCCCAGGAUGAGCGCCCAAAUGGACAAGCGAGCGGAGAAGGGUCGCAAGUUGGCGAGGACGCAGGCGGCGCAGCCGAUGUGGCGCCGAAAGAUCGCUUAGACAUGCAGCCAGAAAGGCAUCGUUGUCAGGUCGUCGACCAGCUGCGGCAGAAGCGGUCGCGUAUUGGUAGAGGUCAUCAGCAAGUUGAGAGGGCGGCCGAGCGCCGCGUGGCUCGCGGGCAGCAGCAGCAGCAGCUGCGGCUGGGGCAUGGGCGCCGGCAGCCACGAUAACGCUCGCCCUUGGUGACUGUGCUCCGUCUGAAGGAUGUGAAGAGUUAUACGUGAUGGCAAUAGACGCUCGGUGUCUUUUUGGCCAUAAGCAACGAGCUGCGCAGGACAACAGCCGUCGGUCGCUGGCCGACGCUGGGGUCGCCGUGCAAGAACGCUGAUACAUGGUGGCCCAGAAGCGGUAGUUUGAAGCUCUUCAAAUUUCAGGUGUUGCCGCGCUAUAUUCAGUGAAUCGACGAUGAAGACGAUUUGCACAAUUCAAUGCAUGUGCCAAAGCACCGUUACAAGGAAGAACCUAAGGGAAGUGCUUCUUGUAUUACACAAACAUGCAGACGAAUGUAAGAUGUGCACGCCGGGCGAUAUCUGCUGCCCUCAAAUGAGCGGCUAUGGGCAGCACUGGUAAAAAAAGUGCAGUCCCAGUCAACAUCAAUGUCGUACGGUGUUGAUGGGAAAGUGAGGAAACGCGUGCGUUCCCAAACUGGUAUGAAGCUGCGAGAUGAACUUUGAUGUUCGUGGCUUGAUGGCCAUCGGCAUACCAGAAUGGUACAGACCGCAGAACAUGAACCCGGGCUUUUUUCUGCGACCUGCCCUAUGGUUUACACCCAACACCCUUCCCGUGGUAGGCAUAGAUGCUGUCGUCGCACAGGGUAUACUUUUUGCAUUGAGAGCAGCAGAUAACCAAGAAAGAGGUGUCGCCGAUGCCUGGCUCCGUGCACUCCAAUGCGCACAGCUUGCACAUGAUAGGUAAGAACUAAAACCCCUUAAGUUUAUCGAAAAGUCCAGAACUUUUUCCAAGGGCAUCUCCUUGUGCCGGGCGUCCAUCGGCAAGUUCCGGUCUUUCGUUCCGUGACAGAUGAGUCCCCGCCGCACGCAAUACCCCACAACAAUCUGUGCAACUCAUAAUCUUUCUUUCCUUCUUUUGUUCCGAAUCCCCUCAUCACAGCCCGCAGUCCCCUGCCGUCGGCUCAUGCAAACCACUCCCAUCUACCUCUGCACCAGCUAACCCUCUCACAUUACGCACCACACCCGUGCAUACUGCUUGAAAUGCUUGUUUUCCCCAAAAUUGACGCCCACGGCCACCUGAAACCAGGCUGCUGCGCGACCUUCAUGAUGUCGUUCGCAACCUCAGCUUCUGGCAGAGCCAGGUCUCCGCCGGCGGCGUGUGGUCCCACGGAGCAUUUAUGCUGCUCAGCCGUGGACCGCUCUCUUUUGCCGAGGACGUGGCCGGCGCGGCCAAAGGCUUUGCAACGCGGCGCAUAUUACCUCUGCUUAAAACUCUAUCGUCUGCUGGCCCGCCUUCUCUUACUCGCGCAACUGCCGACCGCAACCACCAGCAGUCGCAUCAGGACAGCUCUCCAGCGAAGCAUAUGGAGCGGUCCUUCUUCCUAUCUUCUUCUUCCUCUGCCACCGCUUCUCCUGAACAAGGGUCGUCCGCGAGCGCUACAGACAUGAUGCAGCAGCGGGUGGGUUGGUUCAGUUUGGGGAACUGCAGGUCGGUUCGCACCCACACCCACACCCGCACCCACACCCGCACCCAUACCCACACCCACACCCGCACCCACCGGGGCCAUGCGGGCGAUAGGAACAGGCGCAAAGACCCAGAUCACGAUCACCACAUCAGUUUAGCAUGGUGGGUCAUGUGGUCUCGCCCGUUCUGGGGUUUCACGUCAUUGUACGGCUAGCACGUGGCCGUGUUGCCUCAAACCCCAAUGGCACAGCUGCCCGGGGUCGGUCGGCCCCUGCUGGGGCCCGCUGUCCCACACCACACACCCGCACCCACACGUGUGUAUGAGUGUGAAUGUGUGUGUAUGUAUGUAUGUGUGCAGGUGCUGCUGCUUCGAGGUCUGCGGGAGCGACUGGCUCGCGCCCUGUCGGAGCUGACCAAGGCGGCAGGUAGGUGUGUGUGUGUGUGUGUAUUGGGGGGGAGAGGAGGGGGAGGGGGACGGGGGAUAUUGAGUGCGCUGUUGAGCGCUAGCGGGUGCGUGUUAAAGUGGGGGCUAGGCCACAUUUUUUCGGAGCUGCCUUUCAUUCAGUUUCCGAUUUUGGUCGCGAGCCGGAAGCCACUUGGACUUGUCUGGUGCCUUAUCCAGCCCCGACUAGAAGUCCGUGAAGCGCCUUUUAGACAGGUCGCAUUUCAACUCAACACCAAGGGCCCUCGAGACCCCCUAGAGCCCUAAGAUAAAUAUAUCCCUUCUGUUACUACUGGUCAGCUUGCUUUGAGCGCCUGCAGUUGCCCGUUUACGCAAGGGGGACAUAAGUUCCCUACGCGCAAGUGCGGGGGUCGCCGCCAAUCCAUGAAAAAAUCUGCUAUCUUGUGAAAGAUUUGGCAGUAUUGUAGAUGAUGUUCCUAUGGAAUGGAGGUCCGUUGUAAAAGCAGGGGUCCAGCUCACUUGCCGCGACCUUGUAAAGUUAAACGUAAUCGGCACCGGGGCCCGAAACACCAGACCACAGACUCGCUUGAGCUAUGCCAACGGCACACGUGCUUGAUCGAUUUUAGGGCUUCUGCGAGUGGGGGAUCGGCUGCUGGCGGCGUCGGCCCCUGGACAGCUGCCGUACACCAUGGGUACGAGAGGUACGGCGAUGGUGGACUCCGCGUCGGUGGGUUUCGCUGCGGCGGCGGCAGCCGUUGCGGCGGAGCGGCUAACGUACUUUCCUAGUACACGGAAACAAGGCGAGCAGGAGAGCGUGGUGAUGAAGGUGCGUGUGUGGGGGUGGGUGGGAGGGAGAGGGGGGUUAGGGAGGGGAGGGGAUGCUUUGCUGGCAUUUGGCUACCUGCAUCCUACCACCACAACCUGCCUACACCACCACCGUCACCGUCACUAUCAACAUCGCGCCUCUUUCUCCUCUCACGCUGCGCAGGUCAUUGAAGAUGACGUGCGAACGGCCGUACGCGGCAUGACGGCGGCGCUGGAAGGCCUGCUGUCGUACGCUGGGUACGACAUUCCGGAGAAGCCGGUACGGACAUCUUCCGGGGAGUUGAACGAUCAAUCGCUUUUCCUGGAGAUCCGCGGCUUGCUGGAUCUGCUGCGGCUACAGCCACAUGCCGUGCACGCCCUUGGGCUGGCUCCGGAACCUGUCCAACAGCCAGUGCCGGCGGAGUCAGCGGCGGCCACGUCGGCAACACCUUUCUUGUAUCAAAUGGCGGCGAUCCCGGCGGCGGCGGUGCCGCCGCCGCCGUCAGCGGCUUCCCGCGAGCCGGCGACCCCGGCGGUGGAGGCAGCGGGCGGCAGUAGUAGCAGCAGCGGAGCCAGCAGCAGCCGACCCAUGGGUCUUCACGUGGCGUCAGGCGGCGACUCGGCAGCAGCUGCUCUUCGUGCCGCAAGGAGGGCUGCUGCACUGGCAGGUGAUCAUAUUGAACGCGAUUGUGCUAUGGGGGCUGCCGUAAAGCCGUACUUUCCGUAUCAGGGUUCGUACGAGAUGGCCGUUUGGGAGCAGGUCAGGAUUGUGUAUCGUAACCCAGGGGAACUGGUCUCCUGUCACAUUGCCGGUCUCCUCUCGCAUCCUUUCCAUGCUGCUGCUGUUACUCGCCACCUCCCUUCCCCCCACCUCCCCCCCACAUCUGCCGCACCACUCUUUCCUUGGCAUCAGCCUCACUCGCUCGUGGUUCGUCUUUCCCCCCCCCCGCCUCCCACCUCCCCCCAACGAACCUAGGUCCGUUGGUACCGUUGCCGGCUACAGCCCGCAUGCCGUCACGUUGGAAGCGCCAUUGGCUCCGCUACUGUGCCACCGGGGGUGUACUGCUGUACGGCGGCAUGUAUCUUGUACGACACAGUCGCUUAGCGGGCAGCGAUGAUCUGGACAGGUGAGCUAGUACCGAGCAAGUGCUACGGACCGAGAGAGAGAGUGUUUGUGUGUAUGUAUGUGUGUAUGUGUCUUUGAGGGAAAAUGUCAGAAAAUGAAUGGUAAGUAGGCCACUGCCUUUCGAAUGAAAAACGAAAUGAAACGAUGAUUUGCUGCGACAAACCUAUUAUCAAUCCGUGUCCACAUCUCGCCCUGGGCGUUUAUUGUCCUUAUCCUGGAUUUGACGCGCGCGCGUACACACACAAAUUCUGUGAUCUUCGCAAAAUUCCUCAUCUCCCCACUUUCGUAGAUGGAUCCUGACUGUCGUAUCUGCCGUACGCUCGGCUCUGCGUACCCACGUGGUGGAGCCACUGGCUGCCGUACGGGACGAGCUCUUCCGUACUUUCCGUGAUCGGCCUGCAAUUGUGUCGCCAAAGGACUUUUCCCUUAGUCGUGAGUCGCUGUUGCGAAUGCUGGCGGACUUUGCCAGAGACCAUCAAACCUACGACACCACCACCACGCGCACCACCACCGCAAUCAACGCUACCGCGCCCUCGAGUAGAAGUGCUAGUGCCGCCGGCAGCAGCAGUAGCAGUAGCGGCAGCAGCAGCCAUCACGCGCCCCCGGACUCAACGGCUGCUGCUACCGGCGCGGCAGCAGCACUGCCCGGUGAUGUGGGGUUAGGUGCGGCGGGGGCGAGUAGCGGCGACGGCAGUGGCAGCGGUACGGCGGGGGGAGAUGAGGUCCUCGCCGCGGGCAUGGCCGUACUGAUGCGCUCGUACGAGGCUGAGCUCCGGAACCCGCUCCGAAACCUGAUACUAGGCGACCUGGCGCGCGCGCUUCUCAUACAGGUCGGUUGGUAUUGGCUGGAGUAAGAGUAAGUUACUUGAUCGGUUGAUCUCCACAACCCUCUCCACACCCCUCUCCACACCCCUCUCCACACCCCUCUCCACACCCCUCUCCACACCCCUCUCCACACCCCUCUCCACACCCCUCUCCACAACCCUCUCCACAACCCUCUCCUCACCAACCCAGGUCCAGCACGUCAAGGUGGAUGGCGAGGCGGCCAUGUUGCGACUGGACCAGAUCCUGAGAGCCAACGAGCUCUCCCUCAGCCUCAUGGCGGCGCUGCCCGCACUGGGCAUCUCGCUGGCGGUGGUGGUGGGGACCACGAGGUAGGGCGCCGCGAGGUGGCGGCACUGGCAGUGGUGGCGGUGAUGGUGAUGGUGGUGGUGGUAUGGUAGAGGCGGAUGCGGAGGCCCACACGGAGGCCCACAGGCCUCUCCCGCUUUUUGAACCUGCUGCUUCUUCCCCUUACCCAACAGACAGAUAGACAGACUUACAGACAGUUGGACAGAGGUAGACAGACGGACAAACAGACAGACGGAUGGACGGACUUCCUGCCUGCCUGACUGAUCGACGGCCUCCGAACUCAUGACGCCUCUGUUAUUCCCGGGAACCCCGCCAUCACACCACAAACACACCUAUCCCCCCUCCCGCCGCCUUGAAAACGGAGGAUAACACUAUCGAUUGUGUUUGCGUGCCGCCGCCCAGCGGAAUAUGCGCCUUUACUCGCUUAGCCUCCCCACCUUCCCCGCAGCUUAGCCUUCCCGCAUCAGUCUUUCCUUGGCAUCAGCUUCACUCGUUCGUGGUUCGUCUUCCCCUCCUCCCCCACUCCCUGUUAUAAUGGGCUUUACUUCCGGAGCUACGGGUCGUUUCGGUCUCUUGUUGCAGUUUCGGACUGAGAUUCGGACUCACUAGGCAGUUCAUUUCUGAGCUGCUUACAUCACGUGAUUCUCCCUUUCCCCCCCCCCCGUAUGUGUGUGUAGGCUGCUCGUCCCACGCGCCCCUGACCCCAAGCGCGCGGCCGUACCCUCCCGUCUCGCAAUGGCUUCCCUGGAGCGCACCCUCAGCCAGCUGGCUGCAGCGGAGGAGAAAUGGCAGCUGCAGCUGCAAUUCCAAGAGGGCGGCGAGGCGGCCGUACUUCCUGCUGCUGCUGCUACUGCAGGUAAAGGUGCUACAUCUGCAGCUGCGGCUGCUACAGCCGCGGUGGAGGAGCUCCGGGGACUAGUGGUGUAUCGACUGUACCGGGUGAGUGUACUGCACAUGUACGAUUUUGUGCGUUGAAGCCUGAUGGUGGGGAUCACGACAUGAAUGGUGCCGUACGGCGACUCUUGAGGAAGCUUGUUCCUGUUUCACAGCUGGUGUGCCCAUCGAUGGUUUUCCUCUUCCCCUACCCCUCCUCUCUUCCCUCUUUGUGCCUCUUCGCCCGCUCCUUGCCAUGGUUCCCCCUUCUAUCCAUGGCCUUCUGGCCAUCCUUUCAUCUUCAUGGCCAGCUGCUUCCUGUCCGUGCUCCCCGCUUCCUGCACGCCGGUCGCGAUCCUCAGGUAUUUUCGGAGGUGACGGCGUUGUACGCCUCCGCAGAUCGCACUUCACGGUUUAGUGAGUGGCGGCAGCUGUAUGGCGAUCUGCUGACGUUGGCAGCUCCAGCGCCCUCACGGGAGCUGUUGGCCACCCAUCAGCGCAUGAUGCGGACCUACUCCGUAUUCCAGAGAUAGUCGUCGGAUUUAGGUGGUCGGGUUGUUAUUAAAGAGGCGGAGGAGGUCGUGUAGUUACGGCUUUCGGGUUUCCUGGCAUCAUAGGCAUGGGAGAGGGUUGAAGUGAUGAUGUGAGGGGUAAUUGACAGCGUUUCGGCCGCGCGAGUUUGGCAGUAUAGCAUUUUUUGGUAUCAAGGUGAAAAAGGCUGUAGCAUUUCAGACCCGGAUGAAUGGCGGGAGGCGAGAUCGCGCGUGGGGAUUGCUGCGGCGUUUGGGAACAGGCUUUAGGUGUGCGGCCGGCCAAAGGCGCAGACUCUGGCAUUUAUAAAUACUGUGUCUCUGUUUAUAUUGUUUCAUGCUACAGGCCAAAGCAAAGCCCAACGCUUGUCAUACUCUUCUGCGGAUCACAUUUCCGGUUAUUUCAGUUGUUCGUUGUUUGCAUGAAAUUUGUUAGGAAUCCCCAACAUGGCCAGCAGAAGUCAUUUUAAUGAUGUCAUCAACAGCUAAGACACAUAUAACUCAAGAAGUAAAGGCCUUGGGCUUCUGACUGCUGAUAGGUCGACCUUUUCGUGACUGAACCGAUACCUAUCUUGUGCCAGGAUUAGCGAUCCAGAUUGAGUUUCUACACCAUCCUGAGAUAACUAUUACAGAGGAAGACACUUUAGCUGACUGGCCGAUUGAAUGUAUUCUCGUACAGUGCUGUGAAUUUCCAUGCCAGAUGAGACGGGGGUGACCUUUGUGACAUAACGGCAGCUGGAGGCCGAACGUUUUGAUUUUUAUUUGAAAGCCGAACCUUCUUGCUACUGCUUUGUGGCGCAGACGUCAGUCCAUCACCGGGUGCCUUCCUCCUGCCUAUUGAAAUGUCUCAGUCCGAAGCAACCCCGACUGGUUCACCUUGGGUGAGGCUGAACACAUAGUCGCCGCGGCCACCUGGGCGCCGGAACUCCCCUGCUAACAAAGGGGCCGACAUUUAUACGCUAUUUCAGGGCUACGCCGCAACCUCGCAGCUGCUUCAGAGCCGCGUCGAAGUGCCUAGCCCUGAAGACCAUCAGCGGGACAUCUUGAACAGAGCCUACCAGAAGGCCCUAGCAGCGCUGGCUUCUGCUCAGGCUGUCGUUGCGGGUAUCGCAUACAGCCUCUACGACGUAGAUGCUGGGCAGACGGAUGUCUCCGCGCGCCUCUCCGGUCGCCCCGCCAUGCGCUACACCGGCAGGAAGCGCAAGCUGAGUCCAUCCGUCUACGACUACAGCGACUCGUGUUUUGGAGGCGCGGCCGGAAAGGCGGAUACACCAACACAUGUGAGCGGCCGACUCUCCGGGCAGCUUGCGGUGGAAUCAGAGCUCAACUCAAGUCGGGCCUCUGAUCCCGUAUAAGUCGUGCAUCCAAAACAUAGCGCUUCCACGGAGUCGAUAUUUAGCAGGAAGUCACAAUCUGGGUCAUUUUCCUUUUCCUUAUCCCCCCUAUUCCAACGAUCCCUUUCUUACAUGUUCAUCGCUUCAGCCAAGCCGUUAAAAUUUGUGCGUUGUGUUGACGCCGCUGCGGAAAUACGACACCAUAUUCCCCUCAUUCCUAUUAAAAUUGCCACCGUCCUCAUUUUAUGCCGUACACGAUAACGUACUGCAUGCGAAUCCGCCCACCUUACCACAAGAGCCGCACAUCUGCGUCAUUCUGAUGAUAUGGAACAUGGCACGGAGGCGAUAUGGGUCACACGGCUGUGAUAUGCCGUAUGGGCUAUAUGACACCCUUCUUCACCACCCAUCAGGGAGCCCCCUGCUUUAUGAUGCUCCGAAACCAACAAAUAAGGAGCAUACGGCAAUAAUAAUAAGUAGUUGAUGGCUCUUUGUACUCUUCUUCCUAUUACCAUUCAUUACUCCUGCCCAACGCAUUUUUCAACCUUGACAGCCACCACCACAUGGCUUUAAUCGAUGAAGUAGUUCUUGAAUUGGUGUCUCCCACUCUUCCCGACCCCGUCAUAAUGUUCAUCAUCUUGCCCAUCCCUCUGGGUAUUGCCAUCGCUUCUGUUGGUACUGGCAGUUGUUUAUUUAUUUAUUUAUUUAUUCUCAUCCUGCGCAUAUAAUUACCUAUUUCUUUCUCCUUCUCUUCCGUCCUCCGUUCCCCUUUCCCGCAACAGGAUUUGCUUCCCGCGUCCCGAAGUGAGCUCCGAAGCCACCAGCUGCUUGCCGUACGAUGGCUGGUCUCCCUGGAGCUGCAGGGCGCCGGCGGCGUUCUGGCGGACGAGCUGGAACAAGACCGGCGGGCCGAGGUAGCGGGACUGCUGUCGCACCUCCUCGCGCAGGCGCCGCUGACUUCGUUGUUAUCGUCGUCAUCAUCGUCCAUGCCCAUGUUCCAGGAGAUGCUGCAAGGAUUUGCUGGCGGCAGCGGGAGCGGAGGUGCCGGGAUAGGGCCUGGGGGCGGCGGUGAAGGCGGCGGAGGUAACAACACUCAGAUUUGCUUGUUGUUGGCGCCAGGCGGCAGCUUGGGUGGCUGGGCGGAGGCGAUACGCGAGCACGUGGACGUAUCCGUACAGCUGUACGACGGUACGGCGGGCUGCGCGGCGGCGUUGCAGACGGCUUGCGCAGGUGAGUGCGCAUGAGGAGCUGCUGUUGUCAUUCAGGAGUACUGGGGCACACUUAUCUUGUCCCUUGUCCUCGCAUACUACGACCAUUUUGUUGUUUUGUAUCAACAAAACUUGACAUUUUCUCAUGGUAACGGACUGCCCCAGCAUCACCUUGGGUUUACCUGCCCGGAUUACGACUCUGGGGAGGAAUGUUUUAAAAAAGAAUUUUUCUGCCGCCUGUACGGCACCAUCCACUGUAUUGUACAUGCACGCUGGCGUGUCCAUGUAUUGCUUCAGGAUCGACCAAUCGGGGCACUGGCGGCGGCGGCAGUGGCGGCGGCGGGGAUGACGGUGGCGGCGGUCCUAUGGGCCCUAUGGCACAACGGCAGCAGCAACCACAACCACCACCCCCGGUGGCGCCCGUACCCCCGCUCUGCAUCGGACGGCCCUGCGGGCUCCCCGCCCUAGGGGGAGGGGUAGGGGGAGGGGUUCCCACGCACCAAAACCCACACGCCCUUCUAAGCUCCAACGUAAACGCGGGUAGCAGCAGCACCUCCGGCGUGUGUCCACCGAACCCGCACCAGUCGUACCCAUCUGCAUCGGGCGCCGUCACCGCCGCGUCACCGCUGUUGCAGCCCGCGGGGGCCACGGCCGCUGGUCACAACAAGUCCCUGCUUGUCGUACUCGCCCCUUUGGAGCACCUCCACCGCGACGCAGGGGUGUUGUCACAGAUCCCGCAGCGACUGCUCGUCGUCGACCUCGCACCGUACAUUGGCGGCGGCGGCGACGCCGCCGCAGCUGGCGACGGCGGCGGCCAGAGUGCCAGCGGGAACGGUUGCGGCGGCGGCGGCGGUGGCAGUGCUGCAGGGCCCAGCAGCAGCGGCGACAGCGGCGGCGGUAGCGGGCCGCUGUUCCCGCCCUUCGGUGACAGCUUUGGGCCGGGCUCAGAGCCGGGCUCCGCCUCUGGUUCCGGAUGUCGGCCCGGUUUAAAUUUUGGUAUCGGUCUCAAUCGCUUGGAAGGCUGUGGAAGGCGGCGUCAGGGCAUGGACUUGGAGUCUUAUCCCCACCUACAUCUCUUGACGAGGCUGCCGGCGGCGUGUCGAGUGCUGCUUUCAGGUGGGCCGAUGUGGAGAAGAUGGGAAGAGGAGAAAAACAAGGUGAAGAUGCAAAUAUUGGAAAGAGUCAAGACGGUUUUGGAAAAAACGAGCGAGGUGAUGAUAAUGCAUUAUGGGAUAGGACCUGGAGCGCGGUUACUGAGGCGAGAUCUGGACCUUAACACGGAACCUAAAUGUCGUACAACCUUUCCCGAAAAAAUCCCCCCGGCCCAUGCCGCGGCAGCAUUCGACACGUGUUUUUUCAUCCCUCCCGCCACGCCCCGUCCCGCCCCGAAACCACCAAUGUUGUUCACUCUCACAGCGGGCGUUCCGGAGCCUUCUGGUGACGGCAUCUGGCUGCUGCUACAGCUUCUAGCGCCCAAGGUGCACAGGCCCCUUUGGGAGGCGGUGUGCGAGCUGCAGCAGGGGCUCCUAGCCAGCGGAGCCGUGGGGGCGCACAGCAAGGUGGGUCUGGUGAGCAUCGGAGUUGACGGCCGUUGGUUGACGGUUAAUGGUUGGAGAUUGGUUGGAGGGCUUAGGGAAAAGCCCCCUGGGGCUGUAUGUUGAGGCGUGGGGUUUCAGGGUGUCCGCAUACAUCCGCAAUCAGACACACUCCCGCACGGAUGUGAGUGCAGGAGGCGGUUCUGUCGGAGAUUCACAGCCGGCUGUGGGGUUUGUUGCGUCCCUUGACCUUGCACCGGCGAGCUCGUGACGUGGAGCUGACGACCAUGCGAGCUGUCGCGACCAACCUGAACCUGUACGACCACUUCUCGGCUGCGGACGGCGGCAGACGAGCGGACGGCGGCGCGUGAGCGGACGAGAGCCCCGCGCUGUUAGAAGGAGGGCAUGUGUACACGGCAGCCGCGUCGAGGGAUAUCCACGCGGCGUGGGGUGCGAUGGUAUGUGACCCGCACUUACCAUGCGUUGCCUGCGUGCUCCUCCUCGUCCCCUCGCCGCCACUGCCACCGGCAGCGGCAGCCUGAGGGCGACCUGACCUCAACAGGCUCUUCGUCCUCGCCCUCCGCUGACAGCUCCAUUUUCUUGGCCUGGGACGGCCUUGGCUGUAUAAUCUUGGUUAUACGAAAUGUCGAUUCUAGUCUUUGCGCGGGGGUGGAAGGGAAGGAAGGAGGGGGGCGGCGGGGAAGGGUGGGGAGAGAACUGCGCCGUACUGUUUCAUGGCGACUUGGGACUUGGAAGGGCGUGUGGAGAGGAGUGUGGGAGAUGGGUGAAGACUGGGCAGGAAGUGCGGGAAGAGGAGAAGGAGGCGACCCCCGGGUGUAUCAUCUUUUUGAUUUUUGGCUGGUUCGGAGGACUUGGCAGCGUGCACGUGCGCAUCCCUAAUGUGUUGUACCGUAACGGCCGUGUGUGUCGUGUGUGUGUGUUUCGGUGCGCGCGUCCCCUCUGGCUACCCCGGGCUAGUUUGGCGGGGGGAGUGGGCGGGUGAUAUUCUCCAGGGUUUGGCGGCCGUACUUCUUCACUGCAGCACGAGAUGGCGGGAGAGAGGUGAGCUGAGCUGAGCAGCGCCCGGCAUAUCUUGGCCUUUUCAAUUGCCUGCACCCGUGCCGGCCGUAAAGUACAUCAAGCUCAAGAUUAGGCGACCAGCACUAGGUGAACCAAAUGUGUUGGAUUUGGCCAGAAGAUGGAAAUUACAGAAAACUGAAGACUUUUGGAAAAAGAAGGGAAAACCUGCUGCGGAAGAUACAGACUGCCCUUUGAGGAUUGGUUACUGUGCUGUUCUGUGCGGUGGGCGGGGAGAGCUCCUUUCGGGUCAUUACACCGCUUGGUGAUGGAUUUGCGGAAUCGCGAACUGAGGACUAUGAUGGACGCGCUGGUAGUGAGCGCGACGGAGAGCGUAAUGGAGAUAUGACGGCGAUUAGCCGGUAGUGUUUGCGUGUGCAGCAAGACCAAAUAAAAGCGCGCGUGUUGGCGAGCAAUAGGAGGCCGUGGUUCUAUUUUCUCUGAUUAGCUUGGAACCCCCGCCUCCUCCUCUCUCCUUACGUAGCGCAGCGCGACGCAUCCGCGCACUCACCCCACCCCCAACAGCACUUCAUCCCGGCACUUUUACAUCGUUUACGCUCGUGACUUGGAGGGAACAUAAGGGAUAUGAUGACAAUCCGCUACUACACUCCAUAAUCCCCAUGACUGCAACGCGACGGCUCGCCCCGCCUGGUUGGGUACAUGGAAGUUCAAAAAGUACGGAGAGGAUGCGAAAGGUAAAUUGCUCGAAGAACAGAAUUUAAUCUUGGAUCGAUGAUGAUGAUGAUGAUGAUCGAGCCAGGUGUUAAUAAAAAUGCAAAAUCAAGUUCUGUUCCUUUUUUCGCUGUGUCUCGGCUUACCUUAGGUUCCUUUCAUAGAUCGCGUGCGUGCAGUUUUCAUUGGCUUUCUUUUUCUCCUAGUUUCUGGCUAUAUUCCGGUUUCCGUCAGGUUUUCUCGUACAUUUGGUGACGUACGGCAAAACCAAGCCGCUGGGUUGCGGCUUCAGUUGCCUCUCAAGAGGGCCCGCGCUUCCAGUCCUCUUCUUGUUGCGAUGUUCAAGAACCGUUCGGUGACAUUUGGCGACUCGGUGACUACGGCGAUGUUUGCAUAAAAUGGAAGGUGAGGUACUUGCUGUUGUACGGCGGAAAGAAUGUACGGGACACGGUAGACAGUGCGGCGUAUGCUUCUUGCUGCACCGAAUGUUUCGCGUGCGUAUUGAUCCGGCGAAGGAUCCCCCAAGGUGUGCGGCAUGCAGAGUUACGCUCUAGCAGCCUAGCUCUAGAAGUUGAACUCCAAUUCUGGAUUCUGGCUCUAAUCUAGAUGUGAAGGAAAGGUGAAGGAAAGAAGGGACGGGGUUGUGGUCAUCGAGGACAGCGACCCGACAGGAAAGGAAGCUAGCCGGGAAAGCGGCGGAAGUAGCUUCGGGAUGGAUGGAUGGAUGGAUGGAUGGCAGCGGGAUCAGCGAUAAGAGGUCCAGAGGCUUGAGGGGAACGAUGAUCGGAAGACGGGCUUAACUUGGAGGGAGUAAUAUUCCACGGUCGGUGUUUAUCGACGUGUACUUACUUCGUUGAAUGUUUAGGUACCGUAUGAUGUGUGCUUUCAGUCGAACGAUGACAUAGAGAAUGAACAACAAUUGUCGCGUGUGCGAGUGUGUGCGUGUGCAGGUACAUAUGUCUGUGUCUCUCAGAAGCAAGAAAUUGCGCCCUGGCCUUCCCUCUCUCGUGGCCCGUGCCCUGCGUUAGAGGAAGGAAUGCGCCAGCGUUGCGUGCUGAAUGUGUCUGUGCCGGAGAUGUGUUUUUCCUCGUUCUUGAUUCCCGGGGACAGUUUGGGGUCCUCUCACCUUGGGACUUUCGGCUCAGAUGGCUUUUUCUACAGGUCACACAUGCUCAUUAAUUGCUUUUGGUACGUGGUUUGACAUGACACAGACGGAUAUACAGACUGAUGACGCUUGACACGUGUCGUUUGCCAGGCAGAAAAAGACAGACAGGUGGACAGACAGGCAGACAGACAGGGCAAUUGAGAUAAACACCGGCAGGUUCUGUUAUGGACUAGCAUAUCACCCCAGGUCCCAGGUUAGGAGUCUGUGGUGUUUUGGCAACGUCGCGAUAUUCUAACGGGGACCAUUGGAGCUUUUGGCUGUCCUUGUGUGUGAUGAUAACGUUGGAGGCUGCAGUGCACAUUGUGUGUUUGCAUGUUGACGAGGCACAGUCGUACACGGUUGUGUAGGUGACUUUAGGUAACAUAUUUACAAGGCAUUACAGAAGUUAGAGUUCUUAAGACCAUGGCCUGUAACAAGGAGACGAACAAUCAGAAGGCCUGAUGGCAAAUCAAGAAGCCGUCGCUUUGACACAUAACUGCGAUUACCGGUCUAAAUGUAUGACUAUGUACCAUAGGAGCUAUCACGUUACCCUCACCUCCCUGCAAAAGCCAUAUGCCGGCCCCGGCGUCUCGAGCGCACACGAGAGCUCGUUGACGCCGUACGAGCCGUAACCAUCAUCUUUCCAAGGGGUUUGCUGGCUGCCCAAAUCGUUAAUCCAACUCACCGCACACCCCUCAAUGCGACCAAACACACGAGCCUGUCGUCGUUCACAAGGAGCGGCACUUUAUGUGUUCGUGAUGGUGUCCGCCAUGGUCUUGUGAUAUGCUAUCGAGGUGGCGAACAUGUGCUUCCGGCCGGCCGGCACAUAGAAAAUAGGGACACGAACACCAGAUUGCACAUCGUCGUAUGCGCGAGGAAAGGAUGCGUGAGGUGGGAAGAUAAAAGCAAAAAAUAGGAUGUAGGAACGCAAUGCUGAUGGUCUCUACUGGGCAACCAUCUCUUGAGCUUUUCGCGGUUUAGCAGCAAGCUAGCAAGCAAUUAUGACUCAGCAGGCUAGCCAGGAAAUGCUUUUAUAAGAGUCAAAAGGUUAGUCUCGCGGGUUUUCAGCUCCUGUAGAACCUCGCGGCGCACGAUUAUCGCAUGCGUGUACGUGUAGUGUAGCUUCAAGCAGCGCAAUCUCCUCGGCCAUUUCCUAAUGAAAAUAUGCACAACCCAAAACACAGCCCGACAUCAACUGGUCGAAAGUUAACAACAAUGUCAGCUGGAAGCCUGAUCCCAACCAAAGAUACCUUCCAGGGCUCGCCGCGGCUCGCAUGGCAGGCUCGGUGCCGUCCUGAACCUCAGGGACGGGACGGGGACCCGUUUUGCCAGAGCCCUUCAUAACGCCUUUGCAGCACCUCUCCCUCCGAAACCUCGAGGACACUACUACUCGACAUCUCCGCGCUGCAUCGUCGCACAUUCACCCAAAACCCUUUUCUCGCUGCGCAGUUCAAUCGAACAUCCACGCAACACCUUGAGAAGGCGAUUCGCAAACUUACGGAUUAGAAACAUCAUAACGAUUAAUGUAGAUCGGCAUGCAAAAAAGAAAAAAAACAUGUUAUGCAAAACAUGGAUGUUACGCUGAACAUGAUGCGUAAAGAUAAAAUCUUCCACCGCGCGGCCACCGUCCGAGCCAUAAGCACCUUGGAAAGAAGCGAGGUUUUGCCCUCCAGCUAGCCCGCUUGCUCACGCUGUACGACGCGAUAUGGCCGGGGCCCUUCGCAUCGAAAAUUGAGAAUCCUGCGGUACCUCUCACCUCAAACCGCUCCUAGCUAAGAAAUCAGUGAACGGCGUCCUCAGUCAGCGCCUCAGGCGCCAUGGUAAUGACAAGCAACGUCGCACGUGGGCCCCUCCCGGCCUUCACGGAAGGGGCCCCUGCGCUUGCGGGUAACUUGUAACUCGUGACCGACUGCUAGCCGCUGAUUUUCCUCAGCUAGCAGUCAAGCACUGUAUAUCGUCGCCUCGGCAAAGGGAGCUCGGGUUAUAGCCGAGAGGGGGCUAACACGCAACCACACAAAUCCAACACAGGAGAACGAACACCCCGGGGGCCCGAUCUGCUCCAUCUCACGCGGCCUGGUCGAAGCCUCCGGCGUCGCUAGAGGCGCCUUUUUUGCCGUUGUCGCCGUCUGCGGCAGUGGACUCGGUAGCCACUAUUGCUUUAAACUCCUUCUCACUGCCUGCGGAUGCCGACAAACAAGAGGGUUUCGGAGGCGACCGUGAUGCUGCCGAAGUAAAUCUGUACGAGCUGAGCUCACUACCUGCUACAGCAAAAAACCAGGAAAGCAUUACGCCGAGCCGAACACACACAGAGAUAUUGUUGCCUAAACCACCGAAGCGGAUCUUGCCUAUUUCCUCUCUUCCGUUACUACUGCGCUACCGUACAGCGAAGACAACUAAUCUUCAAUUGAAUUACAACGCAUAUGUCAAAAAUCCAUCACGCAUGUACGUAUGAUGAAGUACGGCACCAAGUACGGCACUAGCCCUACCCAAGAUGCCAGUACCACAUAUGUACAUACGUACGUACACCUCCAGCUUUCAUCAUGUGACGUUGACUUACCGGAGUUCUGUUCGCGGCCUCCAGCACCGGAGGGCCCCACAAACCGAAGAACCACGGUGGCCAGCAACUGCAGCAGCAGCAGCAGCAGCAGCAGUAGCAAGGCAGUCGCAAGGCAGUGCAGGUAUAUUAGAGAGAUCAGCGAGGCAGCAGCACCCUGACAGAAAAAACGGCUCAACCUUGUUAGCUGUAGCAGUCAACAGCUAAAGCAACAGCUAAAGUUCAGCAGUAGCAAUAAUACUCCAGUAGACCCACCCACCCACUCAGGUCACAUCUGCCAACCCCAUCCACCAAUCACCCACAUCGACCGACCGACCGACCGACAGACAGGGCGCCCUCACUGACCCACCGACGCGCACACCACCCACCAGCACUCCCAUAACAAUUGAGAUGGGCGCAAUCCAAGGCGCGUACACCUCUCCAAAGUCCGUGUGGUAGAUCACGAUGCCGAUGUAGACGUUGGCCCAGGCCAGCAGAAUGGUUGCUCGUCCCAGAUUGUGGUGGAUCAGGUUCCAAAGGCCACGGCGCGGGUGGUCAGGGUCGGGUCGGAUGUACGCCAACACCACCUGGGGUGGGGAGGGUGGGGGGACCGAGGGGGAUGAUGGGGGGAUGAAGAGAGUGUGUGUGUGUGGAGGAUGAAGAGAGUGCGGAGGGUGGGGAGGGUGGGUUUAUAAAUGUACGGCGCGAGAACGUCACGUCCUACCUGAAGACUGACUGAGCUCACAACAGACUCCGCCGGGGGAAACACAACACCCAAACACACACCAUCAGCUCCAGGGGGCCUCCCGGGGGGGGAGGAGCUGCUCCUCCUCACACAAACAACCCCCACAACCCCUUCACGUACCUGCGCACCCGCCGCCGCCAUAACAGCAAUGCCGAUCUUCUCGUGCGCCUCCGUCAGGUCCCCCUCCACCUCCUCAAACUUCACAAACGCCACCACGAAACCGGCAAUGAACAGCGCCACGCCGGUCCACUGACAGACCAGAUGCAGCCAGAACCACAGGUGCUUGCCGAACACCUUGGUAUUCCCCAAUAGCCACCUGGCAAGGAAGAGAGAGAGGGAGGGAGGAGGAAGGAGGAGGGAAGGGGGAAAAGAGAUAAGUGGUUCUGUAAGCGAGGGCCGGUUUGGGGGGCCCAUAUGCGGUGACGAAGAGAGAGUGCUUGUAGGGAUAUUGCUGGUAGAAAAAUGAACUGAAGAAGAAGGGGCAUAUGGAGUGGAAAUGAAAUAGCGGAGAAGAAUUGGCCCCAAGACAGGAAGAUUGCGGAAUACUUCCGUGUCGCAUUCCGCAUUCCACAAGGCAGCAAAGCAAAGGUGUCCACGAGAUCAGUCGGCACAGUCGGAAGGGGGCCCCCGCGGAAGGUGCCGUCAGAUGAGGGCGGCUCGUAUGUGUGUAUCCAGCCUUGCCAGACACGCCUUUGGAGGAUGGAGAGAUGAUAAACAACAUCCGCAACAAUUCCGCAACCCAACCCUAAAGCUCAUAUCCUAACCCUCCCCGCUACCCCACCACCCCUAAACACUCCCCAUCGCCACCUCUUGUCCCUUUCCCCCAACCCCCACCCCUCCAUGCACGCACACGCACGCAGGCAGGCAUGCAGGCAAGCGGCCGCACCCAAUAAUAAUAAUAAUAAUAAUAAUAAUAUAAUAAUAAUAAUAAUCCCUUCGCGCCCUUCUUCUUCCGCACCUGUGCGCCGGCAGCAGUGUACCCAGCGGCAGUAGCAGACCCCACGCCACAGCCAUCAGCGCGCCGUGCACGUUGAUCCAGUACUCGUCAUCAUUCCCAGCCUCCUCUGAUGCGCCGCUCUCCACGUCCAGAUAGAAGCCGCCCACGUUGGAGCUCUGGUGCUGUAUAAGGUCCUGACUAUUGCUGAUUGCCCAAAUAAGACCGAGCUUGGAGGAGCCUGUUUAGGACACAUGCGGCAGCAGCCAGGUAGCAGCAGCCGUAAGAGGAAACGUUUUUACGCGCGAAAUACGUAUUUUUUUUAUCCUCGAGAUUUCUUUUGGUACUGGACAGAAAAUCCCAACCCCUCCAGAUGACAGACGAAUGGCUUGGCCGCUGCAACUGCACGGGCGACAUAUGUAUGUAUGUAUAUAUAUGUGUGUGUGCAGGGAGAGGGAGAGGGAUCAAGCGGAAAAUCACAUAUGGUGGUGGGAGGAGAGUAGAUAUGGUCGAUGCGGAUGCCCACAUGGGAACGACGUGUGUAUGAUGUGUGAAACAGGGGGGUGUAUCUUCGCCCGUGGCAGCUACCCUGCGAAACCCUGCCUUCCCCGGUAUUUCGGGGCACCCUCACCCAGUCACCCUAGUCAACUUCUCAGUGGAUCGCUCAGGUUCCGCACCCACCACCAGCAUCCAACGCAAUCUGCCGGAUCGAUGGCGGCCCAACUCCAUUUCUGGUCGGCUCGCGAGUCAACUUAAUCCCAGAUCACCACUGUCCAUCGACUAAGGGCACUAUACCCUCCACCCUCGGAACGAUUUUCAACCCUGACAGGUCUCGAUCCCGGGAUCUCCCGGGGGCAAUGGUCGUGCCUUACAAGUCGUGCCUAACCUAUGUAUAUAUUUUGUAUUUGUGCGCUGGGUGUGUGUCGCCGCCGUCGUGGUGGUUGUGGUGGUGGUUGUGGUGGUGGAAUCAGCAAGGGGUGGGGCGAGGAAGGGAGGCCGGACAUAGCGGCCAGGGUAGGGACUAAAGAGAGGAGAGGAGGACCAGCUGCAGCUCACCGUCUGACGCCGCCAGCCGGCGACGGCCGCCGCCACCGCCACUGCUACUGCUGUUGCCAGCUAUGAACCGAAGGUCGGGCGACUCCUUGGCGAGCGGCUCAUUGAGACGGCGACUGAAGCACAUAGUCGUGACACCAGAGUCUUGUACGACACCGCUGUCGUACGCCCAUGACGGCGAUACGGCAUCGUUGCUGUCGAGGUCCUCGGCCUGUCAGUCAACCGUUGGCACCGAAUGGUUUCAUUCCGGCGCGGCACAUACAUACAUACAUACAUACUCCCCACACCCCACACACAGGAGGGCCGCCCCCCCCUCGCCAUUACCGCCGAUCGUGCGAUCGUCGUGCAAAACCCUAGGAGGAGGAAGGAGGGUUCGGCCGCUCAAGACCUAACCUUGAGUUUUUAAGACGGACAAGCGAUCAUGCCACGAUUGCCAAAUUAGGACACUUAAUGAGGAAAAAGGCAAAAAGGUAUCAAAAGGAAAAAGGGAGGUAUUCAAAAUCCUCGGUACGGCGGCCACCACCCGGUAAGAUGUAUCACUCCGGGCUCUCGGGCUAUUUAGGGCCAGGACAGGCUGCCGGCGAGAAGGCGGGUUAGGAGGGUAGGGCGGCGGCGGCGGCGGAGGAGGGGGGACUACGUACCGUUGCAUGGAACGUGCUGAAGAACGGUUUGGGCGAGGCCGCCCAGCCGAGGGCGAUGUCACUCGGGAACAUGGCCGAGGCGUCUGUCGGGUUGAAACCGAUGGCCACGUAGCCUGUGGAGGCGGCGUCGACGGGAGGAGGGGAGGGGAGGGGGGGGAGGGAGGGCGUCGACGGGAAGGUGGGGGUAGGGGCGAGGAGAUUUGAGUCACGAAAGAGCGCAUAGGAGCACAAUGAAAGGAUGCCAUACACAUGUCGUACCUCUGAUUGCUGCCUGUACUGCAACGUGGAGGGUGCCGUACUGCGCCAGCUCACUCCCCUGUUGUACAACCAAGCGCACGUAAGUACCGCACAAACCGGUUCACAGGGGCCAAGAGAAGAGAGGGGGGUGGAGGGCUUGCGUGAGACGAAAUCUGCCAAUUGCCGGAGCCCAGAUGGGAAGGCGAAGGAAGAUGCGAAGGAAAAAAAGAAAAAUAGCAUACGAAAAAUACGGCAAUAACGACAAAAGUACUCAUGCGCAGUGGAGCGACGGCAGGGAUGCAAGCAACAACCCAAGCAUUGGGUAGUGGUACAAAAUUUUUGACGGAAUGAAAAAUCCAAAAAUUGGAUGUCUAAACGCGCAGCCAACACCGUCCUUGUCCACGAUCUAACUAAAGCGUUCGUGUCCGUAUGUAUGUACGCACCGAGAGCGUCGUACGAUUAGCGGGUGUGCAGGGGUUGGAGGGGGCCGAGGCCGUGUUUAUGCUCCAGUGUACGGUAACCUUGUCCUGGUGGCCAAAAACACAUACACACACGCCCGGGGGGAUUUUAGGGAAGAAAGGAAAAGCCGUUGGUGGUAGUGGCGGAUGAUAAGGUCGGUGCUGAUUGCUGGUGGCGGUGAUCGGCGGUGCUUGCGGUGGCGGUGGUAAAUCGGUAGCAGUGACAAGGUGUCGUUGUUAAAACAAAAAAGUAAGAGGGAUUGGGUGGGAGGGGGAAUGGCUCGAGAUGGUUCGAUUUCCUAAAUCACUUGCAUGGAAACAUGCAUGCCGUACACGAACGCUACGUCGCGAGUACGACUGCCGUACACUUACAACUGUCGCGGAGCAGCUGUAGCCCAGGUUGCUUGUAGGGCAGUUGGUUCCCCCUGAGGCUGUAGCGGCCGGCUGGGGGUGGUGGCAGCGAGGAAGGGGGCCCGGGCGGAGAAAGAUGAUACGAUGCAUAUACGACAUAAUAUACGACCUGAUAUACUACAUAUGAUACAAUAUGGAUGGAAAAACAGCGCCAAGGCGACGUCCAACCGCUGCGGACCACCUGGAUGGAUAAAUUAACCUUUCCUCCCUUUCCCUCCCCUUCCCCCUUCCAUUGACCCCCUUCUGUGUCCACCGUCUCACUCACCGGCUUCUUCUUAUCAUCGUCACCGUCAUCGGGUCCCGCCUCGUGACCUUCCUUUUCAUCUCCGUCUCCUUCGCCGUCCUCCUCCUCGCCGUCCUCCUCCUCCUCCACUGAGCUGAAGGCGGACGUGCCAACACCCGCCGGCAGCCCCAGAUUGAUCGCAAAGCCACCUCGGUUCGUCGACAGAUGCUGCAGAAAGGCGUCCGCGGGGCUGAUGGCCCAAAUCAUUCGAGUGAAAGUUCCAUCUGGGGUGAAUUUAUAAUAGAAAUGUGGUAGUAGUAGUAGUAGUAGUAGUAGUAGUAGUAGUAGUAGUAGUAGUAGUAGUAGUAGUCGUAAUCGUCGUCGUCGUCGUCGUGGUAGUAGUCAAGAGCGUUGGAGAGUUGUCAAAGGGGGAAGGGAUGGGGGAGGGAUGGGGAUAAGGGAAACGAGAAAACCAUGAAGGGAAGGAGACCGACGAAACACAACGUACGACGGUCACAAAUGGUCAAGAUGGAGAUGGGAGUUGAGAAAGCCCUAAAGAAAACAUAAUCAACAGCAGCAUCAGAUGCAGAUGGAACGGUUUGUUGGAACUUUGGGAUGAAGGGAACAGGAAGCAAGCACGGGAUGAAGAACCGGACGAAAUAUAUUUUAUAUACAUCGACUACAAAAUUCAAAACGCAGCCAAGGAGGUUAGCAGCAAGUUACUCAUGCUCCACACCUCCACGAUAAUAUAUUUGAUUGUGGAAUACAAAAUCCACGAGAACCGGGAUGUUUAGCAACAGCAGCAGCAGCAGCUAACCUGUUUUUACGUUCUGCGACACCUUGGGCCGGCUAUCACUCAGACGACGACUGAAGCAGAUCGUGGUGGCGGAGCUUUGCUGAGUCACACCCAUGUCGUACGCCCAGGACGAGCUACCGGCAGCCGGGUACUCGUCUUCCUCACCCAGGUCCUCACUCUGCAGCGCAAGUGCGUGAGUACACCAACAUGGAAAUGAAUGAAUGCGUGAGUCGAUGAAUAAGAGAUGAAGAUGGACAGACGCGGCAAUUGGGCAAAUGGGAAACCCUAAAGGUCCAUACAUAGACCAUUCAUUAGUUAGUUAGGUAGUUAGUUGGUUAGUUAGGAUGGCAAAGGUCGAUGCUUCACCCAAGGAUUUCAGGUCUGGAGCGCCCCGUGAUCGCCGGCAUCCCGUGCUGCCCUACCACCGUACAUAAUCACAUAUUCACUUCUCACAUCUGCGUAAAAGGUACUGAUGUACGGCGUAGAACCCACGUAUCCGUACACGAUGUCGCUGGGGAACAUCCCGUAAGGUCCGGAGCUGGAGGUCGACAGAAAACCAGUCCCAACGUAGCCUUCUCGUUAUCGUGUCGGAUUCGCGACCAGGAACAUAACAUAGAUUGAGGGACAGGGGGGGCGCAAGGGCGCGGGGAGGACGAUCAGGGAGAGCAGCUGAUGUAGCACCUGCUGAUGCACACCUACUCGCCAGCAGCAAAUUGUGGUGAUUAUGUAGAACAUUGGAAAUCAGCAGCAUCCGGCCGAUUGGGUUGGGGAUUCGGUGUGUGUGCACCGUAUCGUAUCGCUGCAACUUCUCUAUCCUAUUUUACCUCUGUCUGCCGUACAGAUUAAUGGCACAAAAAACCGUACCGUGCAACCACCAACCGACAUAAAAGAAGCCUACCCGUGACGUUGGCCGAGACAGCCAUGUGCAGCGUGCCGUACUGGACGAUCAUCGUGGUCUGUGGGCGGUGGGAGAUUAGGGUUUGUGUUUUCGGCCGCCAUAACACGAAUGGUUACGGAAAAAACGAACGGGAAAACUGCUUUGCCGUGUUUUUCUUAGGGAAUGAGCCACUGGAGGUACCACUACGAGCUUAAGCAGGUCGAGCAGACUGAGGGGGUUCCCCUCGAGUCCCUUGUGAGUGACGUGAGUCGCUUGGGCGCUGCAAUGAUGGCGGUGGAUGUCUGCAGCUGCCGCGGUGGUGGCGAUAGUGGUGGUGGUGGUACUAGUAGUGGUGGCGGUAGUAGUAGUAUGGACAACAUUUCGAGUUUCAGUUUGGGGUUGUCUUCACCCCCAGGGGAAGGUUGCGGCGGCAGUAGCAGCGGCAGAGACGGAAGAAGAAGAAGAAGAGGGAAAGACCAGAAGAAGCCUCCCCCGCCGGUUUCAUAAAAAGAACGUCCCGAUCAGCCCCCUCCAGAUCCCAUGAUCUCACAACCUAGGAGAAACUUCAUCAAUGCAGCGAAUGUAAGGCCCAGUUUUAGACUAGAUUCUCUUACAUUAACCGCCGUGGGUGUGCGGGGUGUGCAUCCGUUGUUGGCUGGAGCCGAGGUAGUGUUGACGCUCCAAUGGACGGUCACUUUGCCCUGGGGAUGCGAGUAAGCAUAUACGGAGACGGGGCGUGACGGGGGUUGAUUAUGAGAAGAAAGAAAAGGGGCGGGCGGCAGCGGUGUAUGGGAGGGACGUGCGUGUAUGUAUGUUGGCGCAUGUAACAAAACGGGGGGAUAGGAAGCCAGAAAUGCGAGAAAAAAUACCGUUGCCGGGUGCCGUACGGUACGACGUGCGCUCAUGGGGGGGGGAUGGGAGGCUCACAGACAUCUCACACGGGAAAUGUAUCCCUGUGCUGUCUGGCCCCAUACGCGGUUACGUUGGGAGUACGGCGGCCUGUCUUCAGGCGCUAAAAAACCUGAGGCACACCACCAACCCCCCCGGAGGGUAGCAAUGAAAGAUGCCACCAGACUGAAGAGUGCCUUGGAUUGAGUAAAUUAAGGAGCUAUGUUGCAGGAUGCGUGGCAAAGAAGUAUUCAAGGGAAGGAAGAUCUUUUAACAUUAUUAUUGAUCGCCCUGUUUGGGAGUACAAUGCCGAACGCGACCAUACGGCACCAAAUCCGUCGUACAUCAUAGGCGGGCAGUACGAGCACGUAUGCGCAGUAAUUUGCGUGUUGGGUUUGCUGCUGGAUGUGUGGUUGGUACCUUAGACGCCAUGCACUGGUAGCCCAGGGUGCUGACGGCACAGCCGUCGGGGCGAGGGCCCGGCGCCGGCACAGGUGACGAGGAUGCAGGCUGCGGCGGCGAGGGUGGUGCCGUCGGCGGCGGGGUUGGUGCCUUCGGCGGCGGGGGCGGCGAGGGCGGCGGCGGCGGCGGCGAGGGCGGCUGCGGAGAGAUACCUGUGACGGGUGCGACGGGUGCAAAACCCCCAAAAGUGGCAUAGCGAGUGGUGAGUUGAAUGAAACUGUCACAUGCACCGACCAGCAAGAACCAUGGAUGCGUUUCGAACACAUCAUCGAAAAAGGUCCCUCUCAACCACUCAGGACAUCAUAUUAAAGCAGUGUGGUGGCCUCCCAAAAAGCCGAGUUGCUCCCAGCCAGCGGCUCUAGCAGAAACCUAUAACCGACCCCUUCGUAACGCCUCCCAGCCCAAGCCUCGUCCCCUACCCCGCCCUACCCUCUCUCCCUCGCACCACACACCCCUUCCCUCCACACAUCCACCUUACAACGCGCGCACAACAACCCCCAUUGUAGGACAGAAAGAAACAGCCAUUGCCCAGAAACAUCAUCUCUCCCUGCUGAAGAGGGGUGGUUAAAUGUACAACUUCUUCAGAACUUUCCUCCGUCCCAACCGCCAACUCCCAACCACCGAAGCCCUCCUAACCGAUACCGGCACGCAGGUCAACAGCACACCUCAGCCUCAGCAACCAACCGCUCUCUCACAUGUGCCGCAUUCGACGACCCGCAUGAGCACUGUGGCUUGCUUCCAUAAGGCGAUCCCCUGGGUUGUGGCAGAAGUGACCUCAAACAAGACUGAUUGACCUGCGUGGAGUUAACUUCCCAAGAGUCAGCAAUGGAACCUGAACCGAAUACUUCCAUUAACAUUUUUUCUCCAAAAAAAUUCCAAAAAAUACAGAUUUGGGAUAAUAAAACAUGCAAGAUACAUGUCCCCGAAACAGGUAAAGCGCUCUAACCCGCUGCAUACCCCCCGGCCUGAAGCGGGGGGAGUGGCGAUGUAGCAAUGUAGCAAUUCCCUUAAGUAUGUUGUAGCAAUAAUGAUGUAGCAAUAAUGAUGUAGCAAUGUAGCAAUUCCCUUAUUCCCAAUGUAGCAAUUCCCUUAAGUAUGUUGUACAUCUACCUACCCGUGGCAUUGCAGAGCAAAGUGAAAGUCGCGUUGAAGGCCAAAUUCGCCCUGGUGCUUAAGGAGUUGCCCAAAUCCACACGGUUGGGGCUGAAUGCAUACAAACACGGAUGUGAUGGCGUUGGGGGGGCCCCCGGAAGCGCAAGUCCAAGCUUAUUUUUUUAUUUACAAAAAAGGGGAUUGCUAGUAGAGAUCAGCAUUACAUGUGGAAAGGUUCAAGCUGAUAUAGCCGAUUAAGUAGAGGUAGGUGUCUAACUUGGGUGACUAAUUAAGAUAUAGAUGGUACAAGGCGGGAGCUUGGCGCCGAUCCAGGAUGGGCAACAAAUAAGCCCGGAAUUAGCCCAGCCCACAAAUUCUUCUCCCCCCGGGCUUUCCUCACCAGAUUAGGUUAACAGAGUUGGUAGGCGGCUUGGGGGACGUAAAACCAACACUGCUGCUGUUGGCUGUUAGCAGCGCAAGACGACGGUCUGGGAAGGACAGCUGUGAGGUGGAAGGAUGCAACACGACAAGCCAUCACGCAUCCAGAAAUAUACAUGAGCACAUCUCUGGAGUCAAAAGCAUUUGUGCGGGGGCCCUAUGGUGAUGUGCCGCUGGUCCUAGGUGCAAUGGUUGGAAAUACCUAUCAGUGUUCAAUCGACCUGCCCGAGACUGUCCAACAAGGCUAACCCGCAUCGCACCGUUAACGUAUAGCUCCUUCCAGAGCAGAGCGUUGAGGACUGUAGGUUACCUUGGGCGUCAGCAAAUGUGAAGCCGAUUGAGCUGCAGCGGGGGAUACAGGGCGGUUGUGGUUGUGUAACCGGAACACCGACUGAGCACUGAAGCCACAGGUUGUCUAAUAAAAGCUUAGGCGUAGUUAGGUCACGAUAGUUAGUCACAAGAGUAUGACGCACCUAUCGCUUGUUGAACCGCCAGGAUGGGGUGAAUCUAGGUACGCGACAGCGUCCGUAGGAUGCACAUCGCAUUGAGUCAAACCAGGCAGCGUCAGCUCAUCAGCAGUGGAAACUAAUGAAUUAUACCAAUAUCGCGGAUAUGCCUCGGCGGACCGAGUCAGGAAAGCUAUAAUGCAUACCGCCAGCAUGGCGGUCGGCUUGGGCACCAUGAUGCUACGCUUUACAACAAUUGUAUAUGCAGAAGCUAUGCCACUGCAUGCAUCGUUGUGACAAGAUAUUUGCAACAAUUUGCACAGGAAGUGCGACCAAAGUCAACGUCAAAGUCCGGCGGUAAUGUCGACAGCUGUGUGUUGGGGAUAUUAGGACACCUAUGAAUAGUUGAGGGUGAAAGGAACUGGCUCCAGUUGGCGACUGGAGGAAGCAUUAGUUCCUAACUUGCCCGAUCUGCAGAGCCCGACAUCAAUCGCUGACUGAGAGACAAGGAAGAGAAGAAUACUAAGCUUACAAAUAAUGGUGUAGGAAUGCCUUAAAUAGUCUGGCAAAGCCUUGCACGACACAGAGUCGUACCGAUCAAAGACAAACCAUACGUACUCGGUAACGAACACAAAUCCCUUACAUUUCCCCGGUCUUUCAAAGCUGCAACGUCCUCGUUGCCAUUACAGUCGCAAGCACAAGGUUCCCUUGCAUACUGCAACUCACUGCUUUCAUCACAACAGUGGGCAUGCUCAGGCAACUGCACCCCCAUACAAUGCCAUGGGACUCAUAUGGGACUCAGACAGCUAACCACAUAAGGCAAGGUGUUCCAGCUAAGAAAAACCCAAAGACAGCAUAGCUUGGUUCAAAUGAAAAGCAUGACUGUGUGAGCUCCGGAAUGAUUGCAUCUACUGCACACAUAAGCACACAUGAGAACUCGAAGGAAAGUAAGAACGGAGAAUCUCGUGAAGGUGAUGGUAGGUCUCUUUUGAGCACUCGGCUGGGCGCCCCGGUCGACUUGAGCCAAAACAUAGGGGCACCCCGACACAAGGGCCAACAUCGAGCUCCAUGGCAUGAUGAGAUGUGAUGGCCUUUAGCGUGACGUUGGAUCGACGACGAAGAUUACGAAAACGAUUGAACUCGUGAAACGUGGGGUACGCAAGCAUCCAGUCGCUGUCAACCCGGUGCACUCCUGCCGUGGAGGCUGCUGCAACACGAGCACGCAUACAACCUACACGACGGGCAGGCAUACUGGCGACCAGGGCACGGCGAUUAACGUUGAACGAACGAGGUAGACGGCGGGUUGUCAGCUUCCGCAAACGAUAGAAGCAAACGGAUAUGGCCCCAUUCUUGAGCCCGAAACGAACGUGAAACUGCAGUCCAGCGCAAGGUGUCCAAACUUGGCCGGCUGUCGAACGACGGUAAGGCGUUCUGAUCCAACUGAAAAGGAAAGAGCUCCGAUUUCAAGUUGUGACACCAACUGUUACACUCGGAGUGGAGCGACUUGAGCCGACUUGCACACAACAGUGGCGUACAAAGCUGAAUGUCAGUACCGAAGAGCGAUGAACCCGGUAGUUACGAGAUGCGGGUGAACGACCGGCAACACGGGCCGGCAAACAAACGAUCGUGCGGUGGCGCGAAGUGCAAAAGCAGUGACGAUGGGAAAACAGCUCCAAUACGGACCGAGGCAGGAUUGAACCAUAACUCGAUACCAUAUGAAAGGAACUGGCUCCAGUUGGCGACUGGAGGAAGCAUUAGUUCCUAACUUGCCCGAUCUGCAGAGCCCGACAUCAAUCGCUGACUGAGAGACAAGGAAGAGAAGAAUACUAAGCUUACAAAUAAUGGUGUAGGAAUGCCUUAAAUAGUCUGGCAAAGCCUUGCACGACACAGAGUCGUACCGAUCAAAGACAAACCAUACGUACUCGGUAACGAACACAAAUCCCUUAC
rnacentral:lncRNA from 1 species